rnacentral:tRNA from 1 species
GGGGUUGUAGCUCAGCUGGGAGAGCACUUGUCUGGCAGACAAGAGGUCACGGGUUCGAUCCCCGUCAACUCCACCA